rnacentral:rRNA from 1 species
GCUGGAAUCGCUAGUAAUCGCAGGUCAGCAUACUGCGGUGAAUACGUUCCCGGGUCUUGUACACACCGCCCGUCACACCAUGGGAGCCGGAAAUGCCCGAAGCCAGUGACCCAACCUUAGGGAGGGAGCUGUCGAAGGUGGAGCCGGUAACUGGGGUGAAGUCGUAACAAGGUACC